ACCUGAGGGAAGAGACUGGGGCGCGAGAGCUACGCGCUGAGGGGCUGCCGCGAGCUCCCGGACUAGCGGAGCUGGAAGAGGGGAAGUUUGGGAAUGCUAGUGGAGACCCGGCUGGUGUUAAAACCUUUUCGUUAUAGGAAGAGGACAACUAUUAAUGAACUCAGAUACAGAUGUUGCCUCCUUUCACUUCUGCCCCAUACGUCGGUACUGAAGCUCCAGGGAAGCAGCUAGCCUCUCAGCAUUCUCAGAUGAGCUUUCAGGAUAAUUCAUUUUGAACAGGCAUCUUCUCACAGUGGAGAAAUGUGUAUGGUUACAUGAUGGAUUUUGGAGUGACAUGGUCCUGAGUUUGAAUUCAAACCCUGACACCAUAUUGUAAGUUACUGUGAGGCAUUGAGCCAGUUCCUUAACUUUUCUUAUUAUCAGUGUUGUCAUCUGUAAAAUAAGGGUACAAUAUUGCUCACUGCAUAGGGCAGUUGAGAAGUUCAAAUGAGAAGUGGCAGGUAAAUUUCUCAGUACAGAGCUUUGGGGAUUAUUCAAGGAGAGCUCCUUGUAG